rnacentral:lncRNA from 1 species
GUGUUAUCUGAUGCUAUUGCCUAUGUUUAAUCCAUCAAUGAAAGUCUUGCAUCAAUUAGAAAUUGUCUAAGUUGCUUGCAUCAUUGGUUCUGAUUGAAACUGUUGUGCAGAGCUUUAAUAUUACUCAUGGAUUGAACCUGUUGCAUUCAUAUAGCUAAUGCUUUAAGAUUGUGCAUUCAUGUAGUAAUGCAUUUAAAAGUGAGCCUAAAUUGCAAAUGGUAUAAGCUUUGCAUUUAGAGAACUGUAUAGAACUUGCAUUGUCAUUGUUAGAAAUUGAAAUCCGCUUGUCUUGACUCAGUUCAGUUCUGAUUGUUGCUAUGCCAUAGUUAAAUCCAUCAGUGAUGUCUUAUAAGCAUUUAGAAGUAUGUCUAAGCUACUUGAAUCAUUGGCUUUGAUAAAACGAGUGAGCAUAAGCAUGAAUUGAGUCACUCUUGUCGCCUUAAUUGCAUAAGUAUCAUCUAGACUUGUGUUCCAUUUGGAUUGAAUCUGUUUCAUUCAUAUAGUUAGUGUAACCUAAUGCAUUCAUCUAUUGUUGCAUUUAUAAAAAUAAAAAAAUAAAAAAAAAAUAAAAAAUGAAUUGAUUGUCUUUGCUUGAUUGUCUUGAUUGUCUAGCUUGUUUCAAGUAUCAUAUAUUAUUGUGGCAUUGGUGAUCAAACAGGAUGGAUGAUCUUGGUUUGAUCCCAAUGGGAUGAUCUGAUCUUGCAUUGAGUUGUGGUGGUGUUAGGUACACAAGGGAAGUGAUACAUGUAACUCGCCAUCAACCAAGAAUGUAGAGACAAAGGUCUUGUGCCAUUACAUAUCAUCACUUGGACAUGUUAGUCCAUAAUCUACAGGAAGUGUAGUGUGAUUGAUUAUGCAAUGAGAGAUGGCCAUUGCAUAAUACCAUUGGACAUAUCUAGUCCUUAGUCUACAGGAAGUGUAGCAUGGGUCAUUAUGCAAUGAGAGAUGUGUCUUGUGAGACUCUCUAUGGUGAUUCAAACACCCUUAUUCCUAGUUAAGGAAGAGAGAAAACUCACAAGAAGAAAGCUAUCAUAAAAGAUGAUAGUUAUUAGACCAUGGAGAUGCAUAGGAUCAUCACAAGCUUAGCUCCUUCUAGUCUUGGUUCUAAGCUUGAGGGGGAGUCUUAAUGCAUAUGAUCCAUGGUCAGUAACAAGUCUUUGCAAAGACUUCUACAAGGAUCAUCAACCGGACCAAGUCAAUGGCGUGUCUAGGCAAGAGGCUGUUCAGAGCAGNNNNNNNNNNNNNNNNNNNNNNNNNNNNNNNNNNNNNNNNNNNNNNNNNNNNNNNNNNNNNNNNNNNNNNNNNGUGAGGAAGAAGGCUCUCCAUCAAUGCGGCUUCAAUGAAGGUGAUUGAGGAGAAGGCUGAUGAAUCCAUUCUGCCUUUCCAAGAAGUUGAUGAUGCCAUGAAGAUGGUGCAUUGGCCGAGUUAGGAAACUCACAAAAACACAAGGGAAGUUCCCUUAGACUUUUAAGAACUCUUUUCAAUCCUUUUUUCAUCCAUCUUAGUCAUUGCUUGUGUUUGAAAAGAUACUGAAAAUGUUUAUGAUUGAACUGUGAGAUUGUGUGCAUCAAUUGGGAUGCAGGAUAUUCAUUUUGUUGGUGUUGAUAGGUACUGAUGCACCUUUGGGAUAAUGUAUCAGGUACCAUUGCUUGAGCCUCACUAAAGAUGUUCCGGGUCAUCUCCUAGCUUCUCUAAGAUGGCUGUGAAGUCAGUUGAGAGGGAGAGACUUUAAACCGGUUCCAUGAAGAGGUGAAGCUGAGUUGUUUAGUGCGCAAGGUCUUGAUGAGUUGCUGCACCAGUUUAGGCCAUGAUCCAGAACUUCUUGUGUCCAACCACACUGGUUCUAAGGCACAAGAGUUCACUGGCCAAUCCCUAGGCUUUGGAGAGCUCUACUCUUUUUCCCUUACAAGGUUUUGUCCCAAUGGGUUUUCCUUGUAAGGUUUUUAAUGAGGGAGACUCUUCAGAGUUCCAAGCUUGGCUUAGGAUCUCCUAAAGUCAAGCUUGAGGGGGAGUGUUCUUCUCACAUAGUGAUCAACUCAUUUCAACACCAAGAUGAAUCGCGAUGUAAGUGUUGAACUGAAGAGAAGAUGGAGCUUGUACAAUGAUAGGGCAAGCUCUAGAAGAUGUCCAGAAGAGUUCAAUCAAGCUUCAGAAGUGUUCUGAAGUAGUUAUCUUGUGAAGAUAAGUCCAGGAGGGACUUAGACUGAUCAGAAGAAGGGUUUGGAAGAGUUUGAGAGAAGAUGGUCCAAGGUGCAAAGAUAGGGCGUGUGUACGGCCUCGUACGGACAUGGGCAACUAAGAGAAGGUGUGUGGAUCAUCAGAAGAAGGAGGAAGAGUAUUGGGCAAAUAUAGGGCGAGUGGUACGGACAGGAGGUCCGUACCAUCGACCGUACUGCCAAUCAUCUCGCCCACACAUCCGGUUUAAGCAAUGUUGAAGAAGUGCAAAGUCUGGGCGUGUUUAUCUUGGCUAUGAGGACCGUUGGGAGCUACAGGAAACAAAGGGAAUAUCCCUUAGGAUCAGAGUGAUCCAAGAGACAGGCUGGAAAGAGAAAAGCACUUUACCUUUCCAGCCACCUUUCCACACAAGUCCAUCUUAGCCUUUCAUUCAAAAUGGCUCAAUCCCACCUUCCAUUCAGUCAAGGCACGACCACACUUUCCAGCUAGCAUCAAGACCAGUCGACUCUCAUCCUAGCCAUCCAUUCUAUCAUUUAUUUACAACCUUAGGAUGUAGGGUUUAUGAGUGUAAUGUAAAGGCUACUCUCAUCCUAGCCAUCCAUUCUAUCAUUUAUUUACAACCAUAGGAUGUAGGGUUUAUGAGUGUAAUGUAAAGGCAUAUAAAAGCCUUGUAUAUGUGAUUGUAAACAAUUAAGUGAGUAAGGGGGUUUCCCUUCUCCUUCUCUAAUCUGAAACACUUUCUCUUAGUCUCUCUAGUCUCUCAUCCUGAAUCUCUAUACACGCUCUCAGUCUUGUUACUAAUCUCUUAAACACUUAGACACACAAACACUCAUCAAACUUCCUUUCUCUCAAAUCGCUUCCAAGCUCUCUCUCUUUACCCAUUUGGGUUUCAUACACACAUACAACCUGAGUACUCUUAAAUCUCAUAGUAAGAAGCUUGAUUUUGAUACAUAAAGUAGUGGAGAAUCACCAGGAAGCUGAAUAAAUCUCAUCUGAGACCAGGUUCAUUAGAACUUGGUUCCAGCUUCCGCUAAGCUCAAAGCUCACUCCCAUGCCAUUUCCAAACCAAGAAGAAGCUUCAUGGUCAUUUGGCUGUUCAACCUCUUCAAGAAGAAGGUGUGCUCAUCAAUGGCGUCCAGAAGCUGUUCUUGGUCGUUCUCCACUCUCUCAUGGUCGUCCUGAAGAAAGAAGGCCAUUGGAAGCAUGUCCAAGCCAUUCCCAUUCACUGUCCAAGAAGAAAGGUGAAAGCUUUCAACUUGUACCUGGUAUGGCGACUCAAAAAUGAAGAGAGGAGGUGUCUUAGGCAUGGUGGGUUCAAGAGAAAGGUCCAUGAAAGAAGGAGAUGUAGGAGUUGACACCAACCGCUCGGAUCUUCCCAUGUACUAAGGAGUUUCAAGGAACUAACACUAGUUCCUUGGCUGUAAGGAAAUCUCUUUCUCUUGUAUAAAGCUUGAGUGUAUGAACAGGUUGUGAUGUUGUGAUAUGAUUGGAAACCUGAGGAUUGUUUAAAAGAUUGCUAAAAUGAAGUUGCUUUAGAAUCUGUCCCAGGAUACUUUAAGAGUCUUGUUUGGGUAUUGAAAUUGUUUAGUAUGCUUAGCUCCGGUUCAUAGUGAUGCUUGUUGUGAUUAAUUAAAUCUGCUUGCAUACAUGGAGUGAAACCGAAUUUAAAGCUGUUGCAUAUAGUCUUGUGGCUGGGUUACAUUGAAGUAUUAGAUUCAUGUCUAAGUACUGAGUAAAGAAGGUCUUAAGAGUGCCUAAGUAACUUGUCUUGAAUCUGUUAGGAUCUUACUUGUACUUAGAGAUUUAGCUUGCAAAGAAUAGAACUUGAUAAUGCCUUGUGUCUAUCUGUUGCAUUGCUUGUGAUAUUGGGAAUCAAACUUGAUAAUUUAUUAAUCAAGAUUUGACAUCAAUACUAUUGAAAAUGGUUAAAUGCUUAAUGUCAGUUCUAAAUUAACUUAUCUUGUUAAGAUGAUAGAUUAUAUUAUCUAAUUAUGCUUGCUUUCAUGAGUUAGAAACUGAUUAAGAUUAAUGCAUACUGCCUUGUAUUGUUGCAUUUAGAUUAAAAUCUAAGUUGCAUAAAAUUGCCUAAAUACUUUGACUUGAAUCUGAUAAGGUCUUGCUUAGUAUUUAGAGAAUGGUUGCUUGCAUAGAUAAGAACUUGACAUUGUCUUGAUUCUAUCUAAUGUUAUAAAGCUUGAGACAUUGGUGAUCAAACUUGAUGAAGUUAAGGAUUGAUCCCAAUGCAAUUGUGACUUAUCUUUGUUAGAGUUUGAGUGAUGUUUCAGGUUCCCAAAAGGUGUUCCUAGUUCAUCAUCAAAUCCGAGUUGAAAGAGAAAGAAUGAUGCCCAUUGUGUGUACAAUGGAGAGGUGUUACAAAAAGGGAGAAGCACAGAUGGUUGUAAAACUCACUGGUGUUCUUCUCCUUAACAUUGCAAGUACCUGAAGAAGAAGCUAACCGGGUCUAGGCAGUGGCGUGCCUAUUCAAGAGGGUGCUCAAACUAAGACAGAGCACUCUUGGCUGUGUGAAGAAGAAGACUACUCUAUCAAGGCGGCUUCUAUUGUGAGGUGAUUGAAGAAGUAGCUGAAGCAUCCACAAGCAUUCCAUCAUGGUGGCAAAUUCAGAAGGGUGAUUGCAAUAAGAGAAGAAGAAGAAGUGAGGAUUCAAGUGGAAACGUUAAGAACCACUCCUCAUCACCUUAAACAAGGGAGUAAACCUAGUCUCAUGUAUCUUAAUUUGUCUUGAUAGGUUUAUCUCCUGAUUAUACUAUGUGCUUUCCCUAAUUCCAUUAAGAGUUUAUAGCUUCUAAGUAGAAUGUCUAGGCUAAUUGCACUGAAAUUUUUUUGCUGCUGCAUUGUCUUAUUGAUAGUAAGUAAUGUCUAGAGUCCCAGAAUCUCAUGUUCUGUUUAUUGCAUUGUCUUGGAUGUUGUCAUAGCUUGAAUCAUCAUGAAUGUGUUGUAGAAUUGAGUAGAAUGUCUCUGCUGCUUGCAUCAUGAUUGAUAAGUUAUUUUGCAUACAUAAGCAUAUCUCAUACUGUCUAAGUUCAAUCCUAGUGUUGUCUGAUGCUAUUGCCUAUGUUUAAUCCAUCAAUGAAAGUCUUGCAUAAAUUAGAAAUUGUCUAUGUUGCUUGCAUCAUUGGUUUUGAUUGAAACUGUUGUGCAUAGCUUUAAUAUUGCUCAUGGAUUGAACCUGUUGCAUUCAUAUAGCUAAUGCUUUAAGAUUGUGCAUUCAUGUAGUAAUGCAUUUAAAAAUGAGCCUAAAUUGCAAAUGUACUGAUGUAAGCUUUGCAUUUAGAGAACUUAAGUAUAGAACUUGCAUUGUCAUUGUUAGAAAUUGAAAUCUUCUUGUCUUGACUC